rnacentral:rRNA from 1 species
AUAGCUAACUGCUACAAUACGUUUGUGUAUAGUUAGUGAGACCUGCCCACUGAUUAGCAUUAAUAGUGUUAGUUGAAGGGCCGCGGUAACUCUGACCGUGCUAAGGUAGCAUAAUCAAUCGCCAUGUAAUUUGUGGCUGGAAUGAACGGUUUUACAAAUCUUCCACUGUCUCAGCUUUACCCCUACUGAAAUUGAAUAUGCUGUGAAGAUGCAGCUUAUACUUGGAAGGACGAGAAGACCCCGUUGAGCUUAACCUCCCUCCUUUACCUCCAUUUGAAGCCUUAGGGAGACACGAGUACUGAGGGGAGAGGGGUUUGGUUGGGGCGACCACCUAAAUAGUAGUAACUUAGGUAAACUAAGGUUAAUUGCCAAUAUAGUAAGCUUGAUUAAUAGACCGAUAGGUUAGUUAGAUAGCAGUUAUAGCUAAGUUAUAGUGACCCUCCGUUCUAUGGAGAAAUUAGAUAAAAGUUACCACGGGGAUAACAGGGUUAUCUGGCUACAAAGUCCAUAUUGAAAGCUAGGUUUGCCACCUCGAUGUUGAAUAGCAGUGUCCUAGGGGUGCAGCAGCUCCUAAAGGUUGGUCUGUUCGACCAUUAAAACCUUACAUG